GAUGAACGCUGGCGGCGUGCCUAAUACAUGCAAGUCGAGCGAAUGGAUUAAGAGCUUGCUCUUAUGAAGUUAGCGGCGGACGGGUGAGUAACACGUGGGUAACCUGCCCAUAAGACUAGGAUAACUCCGGGAAACCGGGGCUAAUACCGGAUAAUAUUUUGAACUGCAUGGUUCAAAAUUGAAAGGCGGCUUCGGCUGUCACUUAUGGAUGGACCCGGGUCGCAUUAGCUAGUUGGUGAGGUAACGGCUCACCAAGGCAACGAUGCGUAGCCGACCUGAGAGGGUGAUCGGCCACACUGGGACUGAGACACGGCCCAGACUCCUACGGGAGGCAGCAGUAGGGAAUCUUCCGCAAUGGACGAAAGUCUGACGGAGCAACGCCGCGUGAGUGAUGAAGGCUUUCGGGUCGUAAAACUCUGUUGUUAGGGAAGAACAAGUGCUAGUUGAAUAAGCUGGCACCUUGACGGUACCUAACCAGAAAGCCACGGCUAACUACGUGCCAGCAGCCGCGGUAA
rnacentral:rRNA from 1 species